AGUGAACGCUGGCGGUAGGCCUAACACAUGCAAGUCGAACGGCAGCACAGUAAGAGCUUGCUCUUACGGGUGGCGAGUGGCGGACGGGUGAGGAAUACAUCGGAAUCUACUUUUUCGUGGGGGAUAACGUAGGGAAACUUACGCUAAUACCGCAUACGACCUACGGGUGAAAGCAGGGGAUCUUCGGACCUUGCGCGAUUGAAUGAGCCGAUGUCGGAUUAGCUAGUUGGCGGGGUAAAGGCCCACCAAGGCGACGAUCCGUAGCUGGUCUGAGAGGAUGAUCAGCCAGACUGGAACUGAGACACGGUCCAGACUCCUACGGGGAGCAGCAGUGGAGAAUAUUGGACAAUGGGCGCAAGCCUGAUCCAGCCAUACCGCGUGGGUGAAGAAGGCCUUCGGGUUGUAAAGCCCUUUUGUUGGGAAAGAAAAGCAGCAGGUUAACACCCCGCUGUUCUGACGGUACCCAAAGAAUAAGCACCGGCUAACUUCGUG
rnacentral:rRNA from 1 species